AUAAACUGUACAAGGAACCGGUCAAAGGAAAGAGCUCCUUCUGGAGCUGUCAAGCUCUCGUUUGGCAGCUCGGUGACUGGCUUGGUCUACUUCUGAGGUGCCGAGGCAAGUUGUCUGCUGUUUUGAAAUGCUUAAACGCAGUGUACAACCUGGGACGUCAUACCCAGAGCUGCCUCUGGCAAGAGGUGUUGUAGCUGGCUUAAGAGGGUAGAUGGAAGCAUCUGCCUCGGGGUGUCUCGCAGAGGUUCAAAGGAGCAAACUGCAUUCUGAAGAGCUGCGUGCCAUGGCAGGCUUUCCACACAAGUGGCUGAGGACUUGAGAUGAGACCAGAGAGUGACAAGGAGCAGCACGUGCAGGGAUGGUUUCCAAGCGCUGCGGUCGCUUUCUCUUCUGUUCAUCAGGUGCCACAGGCAAGGUGAAGAGGUGCCUGGAGCCCCAUGUCAUCUAGCCUGCGUGUGCCUUG